rnacentral:rRNA from 1 species
UACGUAGGGUGCAAGCGUUGUCCGGAAUUAUUGGGCGUAAAGAGCUCGUAGGCGGUCUGUCGCGUCUGCUGUGAAAACUCGGGGCUUAACCCCGGGCCUGCAGUAGGUACGGGCAGACUAGAGUGCGGUAGGGGAGACUGGAAUUCCUGGUGUAGCGGUGAAAUGCGCAGAUAUCAGGAGGAACACCGGUGGCGAAGGCGGGUCUCUGGGCCGUAACUGACGCUGAGGAGCGAAAGCAUGGGGAGCGAACAGG